rnacentral:rRNA from 1 species
CAUAAUGGAUAAACAAAAAUGAUUACGCGUAUAGUUCACGAAUUCGUGUGAGCUAAUUAGUUUAUAAAAUAUGUAGCAUAAUAUAUGUAUGAAAGCUAAUUAGGGGUGAUAGGCCUUCCAAAAACGAGGAUAUCUUGAAGUAAACGAAAAAAAUUGAGUUUUCAAGUAAUUACAAAGUUACAAGAUUUUGUAACGGACUCAAUUCCUGUUGGUAUUAUGUAUUGGUAUAAAAGCCCGUAUUAAAAACCGCUAAUUAUACAGCUAGUGAAGUUAUUUAAUUAGUUUAUGGUAAGAUAACUCUUUUAAUUAUCAUAAUGUUUGUAUUAGUACUUAAUAGAUAUUGAUAGUGAACUCGGCAAUUAAGCUUUCAACUGUUUACCAAAAACAUAGCCACAUGUUGCACAUGUGGUGUAUUCUGCUCAAUGAAACUUCAAUAGCCGCAGUACUCUGACUGUGCAAAGGUAGCGUAAUCAUUUGGCUUUUAAUUGGAGUCGUGUAUGAACGAACGCAUGGGGGCUUACUUUACCAUUAAUAUAAUUUGAAUUUACUUAAAAGGUGAAAAUACCUUUAACAAAAUAACAGACGAGAAGACCCUUGAAAUUUAUAUACACAUUUUGUUGGGGCAACAUAGUAGAUAAACAUACUUAAUGUACAUGCAAUUAAUUGACUUGAAUAAAUUACUCUAGGGAUAACAGCAUAAUUCUGCGGAGUUUGUGACCUCGAUGUUGGAUUAGGGAACUAUAACUUAGAAGGUGAUUAGUAUUGCUCUGUUCGCGCAUAAUCCC